rnacentral:rRNA from 1 species
GACGAACGCUGGCGGCGUGCCUAAUACAUGCAAGUAGAACGCUGAAGGAGGAGCUUGCUCUUCUGGAUGAGUUGCGAACGGGUGAGUAACGCGUAGGUAACCUGCCUGGUAGCGGGGGAUAACUAUUGGAAACGAUAGCUAAUACCGCAUAACAGUAGAUGUUGCAUGACAUUUACUUAAAAGGUGCAAUUGCAUCACUACCAGAUGGACCUGCGUUGUAUUAGCUAGUUGGUGGGGUAACGGCUCACCAAGGCGACGAUACAUAGCCGACCUGAGAGGGGGAUCGGCCACACUGGGACUGAGACACGGCCCAGACUCCUACGGGAGGCAGCAGUAGGGAAUCUUCGGCAAUGGACGGAAGUCUGACCGAGCAACGCCGCGUGAGUGAAGAAGGGUUUCGGAUCGUAAAGCUCUGUUGUAAGAGAAGAACGAGUGUGAGAGUGGAAAGUUCACACUGUGACGGUAUCUUACCAGAAAGGGACGGCUAACUACGUG